rnacentral:rRNA from 1 species
CUACGGGAGGCUGCAGUGGGGAAUAUUGCGCAAUGGAGGAAACUCUGACGCAGCGACGCCGUGUGAGCGAUGAAGUCUUUAGGGAUGUAAAGCUCUGUCAAGAGGGAUGAUUAUGACAGUACCUCUAGAGGAAGCCCCGGCUAAUUACGUGCCAGCAGCCGCGGUAAUACGUAAGGGGCGAGCGUUAUCCGGAAUUAUUGGGCAUAAAGAGUGCGUAGGUGGUGAUUUAAGUCAGAUGUUAAAUCCUUCGGCUCAACCGAAGUUUGCAUUUGAAACUAAAUCACUCGAGGACAGGAGAGGAAAGCGGAACUCACAGUGUAGCGGUGAAAUGCGUAGAUAUUGUGAGGAACACCAGUUGCGAAGGCGGCUUUCUGGACUGUUUCUGACACUGAUGCACGAAAGCGUGGGGAGCGAACGGGAUUAGAUACCCUAGUAGUC